GUUGUGAGGGGGGGUGCCACGCUGCAGGACGGUUGUGAGGGGGGAGCGGGACGGUUGUGAGGGGGGUGCCACGCUGCGGGUCGGCGGUGAGAGGGGAGCGGGACGGUGGUGAGGGGGGAGCGGGACGGUGGUGAGGGGGGGUACCGCGCUGUGGGACGGCGGUGAGGGGGGAGCCGGACGGUGGUGAGGGGGGGCACCGCGCUGCGGGACGAUGGUGGGGGGGGGCGCCACGCUGGGACGGCGGUGGCUCUGAUCCUCUUAAUGAAUAAUUGCUUCGAUCGAUUAAACACAUUUCUUAUGAGGAAAUUGCCGAGGUUGUUCACUCUUUGCACUCGGGAUCCUGAUGGAUUUUCUGGACAGUUUAAGAAGGCUUUUUCCUCUUUGCUUAUAGAAUUUUUUACAUUAGGUCAUUUCAAGUAACCAUGACAAUAUUGGCGACCGCGGCAGGACCGGGAAGAGACCCGAGGAAAAGAUCCGGCGGGUUGAGGCCGCUUCUCGGUCCCUCGGGAGCCCUUACAGAGCUAAUAGAAUUACGGGUGCACCCAGAAAAAGACUUCGAUAAUGCGUGCGACAGCAAAACAAUUCCCGAUGCUCCUGGGAAUUGUUGAAUCUGACCCCAGACAAGGAGAAAAGCCGAUGAUGUACUGUUACAGUCUGCACGAUGCACCAAGCGGAAUGGAAGGUGUUAAUGAUGUGGACACUAGUCUGUAAGGGUGUCUGAGUCUUUUUUCCUGUCUCAGCUACGAAGGGACAGGUUUUUGGCUCAGCAGCCUAGGAUAACAGAGAGAGAUCAUUUUGAGCUCCGAGUAUGGAAAUUGUAGUUGACCCAAAUUUGGGAUUAAAAUGCUGGACUUUAUUUUGGCUUUGGUGCACAGCCUCUGAGUGUUCUCUUUCUGUGUGAGACCCUGUGGGUCCCAAAUGGGGGAUUAUAUUGAGAAAUAUACCUGACAUAAUCAUUACAUAUACCUGAAAUAUAAUCACUAUGUAUUAGCUAUUUACUAUACUAUGUAAUCACUUCUAGGUACUGAAUAUUACUAUGUAUUAUUUUACUAGACACAUUUUGCUAUGUAUUGUUUUAACGAGAUACAUUGUACUCUCUAAGCUGCAUACUGUGGCACUUACAGGACACCUGUUUAGCUAGCAGCACUAUUAGCUGAAAUAUACCCCAUGUAUGACACUCAGCCUUUGUUUAGUAAGAGAUAACUGUGGCGGACAGGAUGGUGCGAGCAGGAAAUGUAAUGUGAGGGAGGUUGUCUGGAAAACAUAAUCUUGGCCAGGAACAAGGCCCCAAUGCGAACGGGUGAAACAUAAUGGUGGCGCACCGCGGGCUAGGCAACAGCGAUUGAUUAGUUAAUAAAGAGAUGAUAUGCAAUUAAAAAUUGAUUGGGUAUGCUGAUGAAACUGAAAUGUAACUGAGGUAAGAAAUUACUAUGAAGAAUGCUGUACACUGGAGCUCGGUGGGCUUUCGGUGACAAGUUCAUUGAUUGCCUCAGCCUUUGUUUGCAAAUAAAGGUUUAAUUUUCUUGAAGAAUUGUCUGUGUCUCCAGGUCAUUUCAAGUAACCACAACACCUUCCGAUCCAAACUUUACCAGAGGAGGAAGGAUGCACUCCUCUCACACAUUCUGUUUUAAUUUUAAUUUAGAAACAAAGCACAGUAACAGGCCCUUGAAGCCCAACGAUCAGCGUAGCUCAAUUACACCCAUGUGACUGAUUAACUUACUAACCCAGACGUCUUUGGGAUGUGGGAGGAAAGCGGGACUCCUAGAGGAAACCCGAGUGGUCAUGGGGGAACAUACAAACUCCUCACAGACAGCAUCAGGAAUUGAACCCCAGUCGCUGGUGUUGGAAGCAGUGCAAUAACUGCUACACUGCUGAGCUGCCCAAAAUACUUUCGAUACUUCGUAUUUAAAAAAAUGCUCAAGCCAGCUGUGCAGGCAGUGGGGAGCGAGGACGAGGCCUCAAACUGAGGUGUCGCUUGUUUGCAGACAUCCAGGUGAGCAGCAUUGGUGUUGCCCCCCAGUGUUCACCUGGCAGAAUACAAGCUGUACUGUGUUGGACUGCAAACUGCUGCAGCAUUCAUGGACUCGGACGAUUUUUUUGUGUGGCUGCAUUUUACUGCUAUCUUUUAUGUGGUACGUGUGCCCUACGUGUAUGAAUGUUUGCACCUGGGCCCGGUUUCGUUUGGCUGUAUUCACGUAUGGCUGAGUGACAACUAAAUUUGAACUUGAACUACAAUGAAUUGUCAACACUUACAAUGCAGAACAGUUCAAUGUCAGAUCAUUGUUUUUCUUCUGAGGUCAUGGUUUUUCAAGCAAUGAAAGUGUUGAGAGAUCUCUGCACAGCUGAGCCCCAAUAUUUUACUUUCUACUUAUUCUUCUUGUAAAGUUUAAUGCAGUUAGUGACCAACAAAAAGUGCACUAUGGGUAGGUUCACUAAAACUGCUGGGGAUGGUUUCAACUAAUUUGGCAGGGAGAUGGGGAUUGGAGUGAUGGGACUGAGGUUGGUUUACAACUAGAUGCAGAACACAGUGAGGCUGUGAGGAAGGACGGCAAAUGAUAGGACAAAAUUGCAGGCAGUGGGGUGAGUUAAAGUGUAACAGGGGAUCAAAAUCAAAAAGGGUGUUGAAUACAGGACUGAAGGUGUUAGAGAAUAAAGUCUCGCGGUCAUUUAGAUUAUCAGGUACAAUGUUGGGGGCAUUUCUGAGUUAUGGCUGAAAGAAGAUCACAGCUGGGAGCUUAACAUCCAAGGAAAGGCAGGUAGCAGAGGAGUGGGUGGUUCUAUUGCUAAAAAGUGAAAUCAAAUCCUUGGAAAGAGGUGACAAAGGAUCAGAAAAUGCAGAAUUCUUGUGGGUAGAGUUAAGGAACUGCAAGGGUAAAACCAAUUAGAAUUACCUGCAGUUUUCCGAACCUUAGCCAGGAUGUGGGCUACAAAUUACAACGGAAGAUAGAAAAGGCAUGUUAAAAGUGCAAUGUUGCAAUUAUCAUGGGGGAUUUCAAUAUGCAAGUGGAUUGGGAAAAUCUGGUUGUGGCUGGAUUUGAGGGAGAGUUUGGAGAAUGCCACAAGAUGGCUUUUUAGAGCAGCUUGAGGUUGAGCCCACUAGAAGAUCAGCUAUUCUGCAUUGGGUGUUCUGUAAAGACCCAGAUUUGAUCAGGAGACUUCAGGUAAAAGAACCCAUAGGAGAGAAUGAUCAUAAUAUGAGAGAGUUCACACUGCAGUUUGAGAAGAAGAAUAUAAAAUCAAAUGUAUCAAUAUUACUGUGGAGUAAAGGGGAUUACAGAGGCUUGAGAGAGGAGCUGGCCAAAGUUUUGUAAGGGGACACUACCGGGGAUGGCUGGAGUUUCUGGGGGAAUUUGGAAGGCGCAGGAAAGAUACAUCCCAAAGAUGAAGUAGUAUUGUAAAGUGAGGAUGACAAGGGAAAUCAAAGACAGCAUAAAACAACAGUAUAGAAAAAUUAGUGGGAAGGUAGAAGAUUAGGAAGCUUUUAAAAACCAACAGACAGCAACUAAGAAAGCCAGAAGGAAAGAAAAUAUGAAAUAUGAAGGUAAGUUAACCAAAAAUAUAAAAGGGGCUAAAAUGUUUUAUCAGAUUUGUGAAGGGUCAAAGACAGACAAGAGUAGAUAUCAGACUGUUGGAAAAUAAUGCUGGAGAGGUAGUAAUGGGGGACAAAGAAAUAGCCAAGGAAAUUCAUAAAUAUUUUCAGAAUCAGAUUCAGGUUUAAUAUCACUGAAAUUUGUUAACUUUGCAGUAGCAGUACAUGAUAACAUUAAAAACUGAAUUACAGUAAGUAUACAUAUGUAUAUCGAAUAUUUAAAUAAGUAGUGCAGUAACAGAAAUAAUAUUCUGCAUCAGUCUUCACUGUGUAUGCCAGAAAUUCGAGAGUAUCAGGGGCAGAAGUGAGUUUGAUUGCUAUUACUAAGGAGAGGUUUGCUUGGGAAGCUGAAAGGUCUGAAAGGUAGAUAAGUCACCUGGACCAGACAGACUACGCCUCAGUUCAGAAAGAGGUGGCUAAAGAGAUUGCAGAAGCAUUAAUAAUGAUAUUUCAAGAAUCAAUAGUUUUUGGCAUGGUUCUGGAGGUCUAGAAAAUUGCAAUGUCACACCGCUCUUCAAGAAGGGAGAGAAGCAGAAGGAAAUUAUAGCCCAGUUAGCCUGACCUCAGUGGUUGGAAAAAUGUUGGAGUAUAUUACUAAGGAUGAGAUUUCAGGGUACUUGGAGGCACAUGAUAAAGUAGGCCAAAAUCAGUAUGGUUUCUAAAUGGAAAACCUUGCCUGAUAAAUCUAUUGGAAUUCUUUGAGGAAAUAAUAGGCAGAAUAGAUGAGGGAGAGUCAGUGGGUGGUGUUUUUUUGGAUUUUCAGGAGGCCUUUGACAAGGUGCCAAAUAUGAGGCUGCUUAACAAGGUAAGAGACAAGAUGUUACAGGAAAGAUACUAACGUGGAUAGCGGAUUGGCCGACUGACAGGAGACAAAGAAUCAGAGUAAAGGGAGCCUUCUCUGAUUGGCUGCUGGUGACUAGUGGCAUUCAGCAGGGGUUGGUGUUGCCACCACUUCUUUUCAUGUUGUAUGUCAAUGAUUUGUAUGAAGACUUUGUGGCCAAGUUUUCAGGUAGAGAGGCAAGUAGUGUUAAGGAAGCAGGGAGACUGCAGUGGGACUUAGGCUGGCGGGAUGGGGAAAGAAGCGUCAGGUGGAAUAUAGUGUCGAGGAAUGUAUGAUCAUGGACUCUGGCAGAAGGAAUAAAGGUGCGGACUGUUUUCUAAAUGGGGAGAUAGCAGUGAUAUCCUAUCAAACUUUCCAGGUGAAACUUUGUUCGUCCCAAAGAUCUCAAUUUAGCAAUUAGAUGUUUCCUUUGCUCUUCAUAGAAACAGCAUUCAAACAAUAUUUGCAGCACCAGUUCUAGACAAGUACACUCCUUUCAAAUGCCUGUAUCAGGCAUAUUAAUUCUUAAUAAGGUAUUAUUCAACCGAGUACGUCCAAUACACAAACAUGUAAGUAUAACUUCUUCCCUCUUUUUAUACCGAUCUUGCAAUUGUGUAAUUUAGGUUCUAUAUCAAUCAGUGGUCACUUUAUUAGAUAUACCUGUAUGUCUGCUUGUUGAUGCAGAUAUCUAGUCAGCCAAUCAAGUGGCAGCAACUCAAUGCAUAAAAGCAUGCAGACAUGGUCAAGAGGUUCAGUUGUUGUUUAGACCAAACAUCAGAAUGGGGAAGAAAAGUGAUCUAAGUGACUUGUUGUUAAUUUGUACGUGUUGAUUUGACCACAGCAACUGCAGUGUACUUAGUGUUUACCACGGAAUGAUUGUCAGUGCCAGAUGGGGUGGUUUGAGUAUCUCAUCCCCUGGGGCUUUCAUGGAUAACAACAUUUACAGAGAAUGGUGUGAAAAAUAAGACAUUUAGUGAGUGGCAGCUCUGUGGGUGAAACCACCUUGUUGUUGAGAGAGGUCAGAAGAGAAUGGCCAGACUGUUUCAAGCUGAUAGGAAAGCGACAAUAACAAUAAAUUAUAAAUUUUCCCAAUAAAACCCUUCACUAAAGGAUCCAUUUUUAAAAUAAUAUCUAACAGGUCUUGUAUAUAUGAAAAAAUACAGAAGUAUUUUUGUAAGAAGUGUCUGGCCUGAAGAUAUUGCAGGAAAUGUGAAUAUGAGAGAGUAUUUAGUUACUAAUUUCUCAAAAGACACCAGUCGGCCAUCUUGGAACAAAUCCAUGAAGGAAUAAACCCUUUUAUUCCUUCAAAGAAGAAAAGUAGGAUCACUUAAUGAAGGUUUAAAUAAAUAAUUUCAAUAAAUUAAGCUAAAAAGUUUAAAUAUUUUAAGAUUAAAAAAAUUAUGAAACUGGAACCAAAUUUGUAGUGACUGCUUAAUCACAGGAUGUAAAUUUAAGUUAGUAAUUUUGGCCAGUUGUACAGGCAGAGAAGCUCCUAAUAAUGAGGUUAAAUGAAACUGUUAAGCAAGAUUGGGAGAGAGAGUUUAACAUGACUUUGAUAACAGAAAAUUGGUUGCGGAUUUUGAAGUUGGCCCAAGGCUGUGUAGUGGUUAGCCAAACGCUUUACACUACAGGUGACCCAGGCUCAAUCCCUUUCAUUCUCUGUAAGGAGUUCGUACAUUCUCCCCAAGAAUGCCUGGGUUCCCUCCAGACGCUCUGCUUUCUUCCCACAUUCCAAAGAUGUAUGGGUUGGGGUUAAUAAGUUAUGGGCUUGCUAUGUUGGUGCCAGAAGUGUAGUGACACCUGUGGGCUGCCCCCAACACACCCCCGUUCUCUGUUGGUCAUUGUUGCAUACAACGCAUUUUACUAAAUGUUUCGAUGUACGUGUGAUAAAUAAAGCAAAUCUUCAUCUUAUUGUAGGGUUUCCGAGUGAAUUCCCUUCAACUACAAAGAGGAAGGUCCUCAGAAUAAAUUAUUUUAAUACUGGUGGACAUCAGUAUUAUGUGGUCUGAAACUAUGUGCCAGGGCAAGGAGACCCCAGACUGAGAACCAGGGUGCAAUACAUGAACACAGACACACACAUGUGCACACAGAUAGGCAUACACACACAAAGACACAGUCUUCCUCAGUCCCACUUCCCUGCCUUAAAUGAUCAAAGAUUGCAUACUGGGUAAGGGAAUCAAAACCCAAAGGGCACUGGCUUAACCAGUGAGGGGAGCGAUUUAAAAGGGAUCUGAAUGACAGGGUCAUGCAGAUGUGCAUUGAUCUGACAGAGGAAGUAGUAGUGGCAGCUAAAAUAAUAUUUAAAAGAUACUUGGACAGGUCCGUGGAAAGGAAAAGUUUAGAAUCUUUCAAAAGUGAAAACAAAAGGUUUAGAGUUUUUAUAUGAAUGUCAGUGGUGUCAUAUGUGCACUUUGAUAAUAAAUUUACUUUGAACUUUAGAGGGAUAUGGCCCAAAUGUGGUCAAGUGGAACUAGCUCUGAUGAGCAUCUUGGUCAGCAUGGGCCAGUUGGGCCGAAGGGCCUGUUUCCCAGCUGUAUGACUUUAAGGAUUGCGGACUCGGCUGGAGAGGCAAGAGACAACAGAUGCUGGAGCCUGGAGCAAGUCAGGUCGGCAGGGGAAGGAAUUGUCGGUGAUUUCCCCAGCAGGUAGUUUGUUGCUCCUAAAACAGUAGCUGUUUCAUUCUCCACAGACACCGCCUGACUUGCUGAGUCUUUCCAGGAGUUCCUGUUUUUCUCCUUACUUACUCUGAUCCACGCUCGGUUCACCAUCUCCUCCUCAACCCACCACAUCAUCAGAAUAAGAGUCAGUUUAUUAUCACUGAUAAUGUCCUGAAAUUUGAUGGGGUUUUUUGGCAGAAGUACAUUGCAAUAUAUGCAAUGAAUAAAAUAUAUUAUAAAUUACAAUAAUAUAUAUGCUGUAUAAAAUUAAAUUAGUGCAAAGAUAUAUAUAUAUAUAUAUACAUACACAGUAUAUAUACGUAUACACUCACACUGUAUAUGUAUUAUAUACCAUAGUAUACUGCAAAAAUAACAAAAAUAUUGAGGUAAAUUUCAUGGUUCAUUCAGAAACCUGAUGGCAGAUGGGAAUAAGUUAUUUAUUGACUGUAGGUCUUUAGGCUCCUGUAUCUCCUCCCUAAUGGUAGUAAUGAGGAGAGGGCAUUUUCAAGAAGGCAGCACCCAUCAUUAAGGACCCUCACCGUCUGGGAAAUACCCAUUUCUGGUUACUACUAUCAGGGAGGAGAUACAAGAGCCUGAAGACCUACAGACCUAAAGUUGGCACACACCCAACUUUCCAUGAAUAGCUUCUUCCCUUCUACUAUGGGAUUUCUGGAUGUUAUCUAAACUCUAAUUACUCUUUUUUUUGCAUUAUCUCUAUCCUUCGUAAUUUAUUGUAAUUUUUAUGACUUGCACUGUACUGCAAAAUAGGAAAUUUCAUGUCAUAAAAGACAGUGAGAAUGAUUUCCCCCUCACUCUCCAUUCUAGACUCCCUACCACUGUUACCUUGCUCUCUCCUGCCUCUCCCCAAUCCUCCUCUGCCCCCUCCUCUGUUUUCCCAGCAUUCUCCCAGAGUAAAGAAGCUUGUUAUAAACACAAGAGAUUCUGCAGAUGCUGGAAAACCAGAGCAACACAUACACACAAGAUGCCGGAGAAAUUCAGCAGGCCAGGCAGCAUCUAUGGAGAGGAAUAAACAGUUGACGUUUUGGGCCAAGACCAAAAUAUCCUUAUGAAGGUUCUUGGCCUGAAACAUCAAGUGUUUAUUCCCUUCCAUAAAAGAAUCAUACCAUCACAAUUCAGCCAGCUCCAUCAUGGGCACUAGCCUCGAGGACAUCUCAAGAAGGCGGCAUCUAUCUGCUAGGACCCCUGUUACCCAGGACAUGCCCUUUUCUCAUAGCUGUCAGGGAGGAGGUACAGGAGCCUGAAGACACACACUCAAUGUUUCAGGAACAGUUUCUUCCUCUCCACCAUCCAAUUUCUGAAUGGACAAUAAAUCCGCAAAUAUUACCUCAGUAUUUUUGCACUACUUAUUGUAUAGCAAUGUACUGUUACCACCAAACACCAAGUUUCACAACAGGUGCCCGUGGUUUAAACCUCACCCCUCCUCCCGUAAUAUCUGCCCUCAACAAGUCAACAGCUGCCUGCCGAGCGGGCCACUGGCUCCUGGGCAUGAGUCUGACGUUUCUGUGGGGUUUUCGUAGCCCACAGAUCUUCUCGAGGCAAGGUUGUGAUGCGGCGGAAUGGGGCCGCUCGUUUCCUCAGUAAGGACGGCAGUCAUUCAGUCAGCCGUUCAACAGGCCCCGAUGCAGAACAUGCCCGGGCAGUUCACGCAAAGCUCAGGGCACGGAGGGCAAUCUAACAGGGCACCAAGGUAGCGUAGGGGUGAAGGAAAUUCUAUUACAUUUCAGGGUGUCCAAGUUCAGAGAUCAAUCCUGGCACCAUCUUUAUGGUUCCUGUGUCUGUGUGCGUUUCCUCCGGGUGCUCCGGUUUCCCCCCACAGUCCAAAGACGUACUAGUUAGUAGACUAAUUGGUCAUUGUAAAUUGUCCUGUGAUUAGGCCAGGGUUAAAUAGGUGGUUUGCUGAGCGGUGAGGCUCAGAGGGUCAGUUCCACACUGUAUCACUAAAUAAAUUAGGGCAGAGAGGGAGGGAGAGAGAGAGAGAGAUAGAUGGAGGAUUGGGAGGGGAGUGUGGGGUGGUGGGAGAAGGAGAUGAGUGGGAGAGUGGGAUGGGGAGGAGGGAAGGAAGGGAAUAGGUGAAAGGGAGAGGGGAAGAGGUGAGUGGGGUUGGAGGAAGGAAAGAAGGACGUGGGAAGAGGGGGUGAAGGGAGGAGAGCAGCAGGUAGAGGUGCAGGUCGAUGGGAGUAGGUAGUUUAAAUGGUGUCGGCAUGGACUAGAUGGGCAGAAAGGCCUGUUUAUGUGUUGUACUAUUCCGUUACUCUAUGGGGAGGGUGAGAGAGGGAUAGAUUCGUGAACCUACACAUUCUUCCCGUGAGAUUUCACCCUCCUCGACUUAGGUCCGACUCAUGUCGACAUCUGUACUCCUCGUUGCGAAAGGCGAGGAUUGAGAGGGUGGAGCAGCGCAACGCGUCGGAAGUUACAUCUCUCAGGUGAGAUGGUAAAUUGGGACCCAAGGGUGGGAGAACCCUGCGGGAACGGUCUCCCGUGAAGAGACACAGCUCACUGUCCCCACACCAUAUGUCCCACUCCGGGAUAGCCUUCUCGCCCAGCAACUUCCGCAUCCGAGCGUUUCAUUGGCGAACCGUCCUCAUGACCCCCACUCGGACUGACUCUUGUUGCUGCUAGUUAUAAAAUAGGUGGGGAAGAACCAAUGGCAGGCGUCAGGAAACGAAAACUUUUUGCUGAACGUCGCAGCGAAACCAGAAGCAAUUUUAGGGAAACAA